rnacentral:rRNA from 1 species
UACGUAGGUGGCGAGCGUUGUCCGGAUUUACUGGGCGUAAAGAGCGCGCAGGCGGCUGGUCAAGUCCGAUGUGAAAGCUCCCGGCUUAACUGGGAAAUUGCAUCGGAAACUGAUCGGCUGGAAGGUGGGAGAGGGUAGCGGAAUUCCCGGUGUAGUGGUGAAAUGCGUAGAUAGUCGGAGGAACACCAGUGGCGAAAGCGGCUACCUG